rnacentral:rRNA from 1 species
CUACGGGUCGCUGCAGUAGGGAAUAUUGCGCAAUGGGCGAAAGCCUGACGCAGCGACGCCGCGUGAGUGAAGAAGGCCCUCUGGGUUGUAAAGCUCUGUAAGAGGGGAAGAAAAGGCCCGCAAGGGAGAUUGACGGUACCCUCAAAGUAAGGACCGGCUAAAUAAGUGCCAGCAGCCGCGGUAAUACUUAUGGUCCGAGCGUUGUCCGGAAUGCCUGGGCGUAAAGGGUGCGUAGGCGGCCACAUAUGUCAGGUGUGAAAUCCCCGGGCUUAACCUGGGAACUGCGCUUGAAACUGUGUGGCUGGAGUAUGUGAGAGGUAAGCGGAAUUCCCGGAGUAGCGGUGAAAUGCGUAGAGAUCGGGAAGAACACCAGUGGCGAAGGCGGCUUACUGGCACAUAACUGACGCUGAGGCACGAAAGCGUGGGGAGCGAACGGGAUUAGAUACCCCUGUAGUC